UUGCGGUUAAAAAGCUCGUAGUUGGAUCUCGGCAGGCAGGGGGCGGUUCGCUAUUUAGCGCUACUGCCCCAUUUGCCUGUGUGAUUGGCGGAGGUUUCGGGGUGCUCUUUACUGAGUGUCCCGGGGCGCCGUCAGGUUUACUUUGAAAAAAUUAGAGUGCUCAAAGCAGGCUUUUCACGCUUGAAUAUUCGUGCAUGGAAUAAUGGAAUAGGAACUCGUUUCUAUUUUGUUGGUUUUCGGAAAUCGAGUUAAUGAUUAAUAGGGACAAUUGGGGGCAUUAGUAUUCAGACGACAGAGGUGAAGUUCUUGGACCGUCUGAAGACUAACUACUGCGAAAGCAUUUGCCAAGAGUGUUUUCAUUAAUCAAGAACGAAAGUUAGAGGUUCGAAGGCGAUCAGAUACCGCCCUAGUUCUAACCAUAAACGAUGCCCAGCUAGCGAUCCGCUGAGUUUUCUUUGUAGGCUCUGCGGGAA
rnacentral:rRNA from 1 species